UGCAGCGUUUCUGCUCGCAUUUGGCUCUCGGAAAGAAACCAGACACAGACGCCAUGUUGGCCAUCUUGUGGCUUCGAGAGCGUCGUUUUGCCGACAAGAAACCCGACUGCGUGUUCAUGGUGGCUUUUCCGAGCCGAAUUUCAUCGGCCAUCAACGCAACGACGUCAUCGUCUCACAGGAGCCGCGAAAGACGGAAUUUCCGUCCGCAUUCGUCAAACAAGAACGAUGCUCUGGGAGAUUUUUCUCGUCUGGAGUGUCUGGACACGUCCGGUCAGUCAAGUGCCUCCGAACAGGACAUCAUCAGCCAAUCCCCUGUGCAAUGGUGCGCGGCGUAAAUUUUAAUUAUAAUUUUUGAGCAACAUCCUUCUGGUUCUUUUCAAAACGAAUUUUGAUUUUAAAAUUUCUUGCUCAUUUCAUUCACUGAAAUCGAGGAAAGUAGAAGACGCGAUCUCAUCCUUGUUGAAAAUGUGUAUUUUCUACGACAGUGAAAAUUAAUGUUGAUUUGUCAUUCAUAAAAGGACUAAUGAAAGAAAUAUGAAUUUUUAUGGCAUAUUUAGGCUGAGAGACUUAAAUUCAAUUGCAUCAAAAUAUCAUUAUUGCCUUUUAAUUAAUUUUUAAAAAGAUCAAUUAAUAUUAAUUCCUGUUUGCGGCGCGUUUUAACUUUUAAUCUAAAACAUUAUAUCCAGCAUGGCAAGUUUAAUCUUGUCAUUGUGUCGCCUCGCCAUCUGGCCCCAGGCCUGUCUCUUGGCACACGCGACCUGGUUGACCUGCGGAUGCUGCGACCGGAGAUCAAUCUCCGAUGGCUUGCAAGCUGAACGACCUUCGGGUGGCACUUGCAAGUGGAUUCCGAGGCUCCUCGGCUUCGGCCUGUCGCACCGGUGGCAGGUCGACCCACGGGUUCUCCCUCGGGAGGAAGGGAUGGAGGGUUGAAACUUCCGAAGGUUCCAGUUCCGUCUACCAUACAUGAUGGACACGCGCAAUUGGAACCGGUUUUUGGGAAGUUUUGACUUAAAAAAGGGUGUAGAAUCUCGCGCCUUGUUACAUCAUUGCAAAAAAAUUCUCUAGUCAUGCAUUUCACCUUUUUCUUGCGGCGCCUUUUCUUCUGGGCAGCCUGCCGUGUAAUUCUCAAAGUGUGUUUCGGCUCGGUUUUUUACGUUUUCUUGAGUCAAGAUCAUUGUGAUGCGUUUUAUUUCUGAUUCAUGGUUAUGUAAAUGCGAGGAUCAGUUUAACUGCAAACUUUUUCAGGGCCUGAGGAUAGACCCAUAGCUUAUGUUGAUGAUAUCCGGCUAAGCUCGUCUUUCCGAUUUGACUUGGAAGUUUGCAGCGCGUCGAUAGGGUAUACUUGUCAACAAUAGGGCCUGGACAGGCCAAAGGUUAUGUUGAUGAUGUCCGGCUAAAAUAUGGCUUCUCCAAUCCGGCUCUGUUGACGAGGCGGAGGCUGGUGGGGGGAUAAUUGUUAACUUUGAAGGUCUGAGGAUGGGCCACCACUUGAUGUUGAUGAUUUCCGGCUUGAGUGAUCCAUCCAAUUUGACUCUCUAAGCUAACAACGCGCGCGUUUUUCACUUUGAUUUGGUUUCAUUAAAAUCUGCAUCAACCUUGACUUUUGAAAAAUAAAAAUUUGAAUCUAAACGCACUUAUUAGGAUGAAAGCAGGCUGCGUGGAAGAAAGAGCAGUAAAGUAAUUCCAACUGCGUUAUCCGAAUUAAAAAAAAAAUUAUCAAAUUAAAACGGCAUAAUUAUUGCCUUUUAAAUCAUUUAAAUUAAUUGAUCUUUCCAAACAUUUGAGGAAACUGAAAAAAAAAAUCGGCCUCGUCGCGGCGCGUUUAAUUCGUUCAGCAUCCCAAGUUUAAUCUUGUCGUUGUGUCGCCUUGCCAUCUGGCCCCAGGCCUGUCUCUUGGCACACGCGACCUGGUUGACCUGCGGAUGCUGCGACCGGAGAUCAAUCUCCGAUGGCUUGCAAGCUGACCGACCUUCGGGUGGCACUUGCAAGUGGAUUCCGAGGCUCCUCGGCUUCGGCCUGUCGCACCGGUGGCAGGUCGAACCACGGGUUCUCCCUCGGGAGGAAGGGAUGGAGGGUUGAAACUUCCGAAGGUUCCAGUUCCGUCUACCAUACAUGAUGGACACGGGCAAUUGGAACCGGAUUUUGGGAAGUUUUCAACUUAUAUGGGUGUAGAAUCUCGCGCAUUUUGACAGCUAUAAUAUAGAUUUAGUUGCAUUAUUAGGUAUAAAAAAAUCUCAUGCGUCUCCGUUUAUCUGUUUUAAACAAGGCAAUAAUUACAUUUUAGAAUUCGCACCAUAAACACAGUUAAAUUUUAAACGCUUAAUUCGGCUUUGGUAAAGUCAUUUACUGAAUCCACUUUAAAACUGUACGACUGACAAUAAUGUCCGCUUCUGGGAUCAGACAUGUGAAAACUACGAUUUUUUUUUACAUUGUGACCCAUUCAAAAUUCCUGUAUGCCACAAAUUGAAAUCAAAGCUCUUUGCUGCCUACACCGAUCGCUUGUUUGUAAACACGCACUUAUCACUUAAUGUGUAUGUACUUUUUCCGUUUUUUAUAAAUUUCUAUUUUUAACUUAAUCAAUAUCCAUCCACAAAUUGAAGAUUUUGUGAACAUCUGCGCUUUUAAUCAGUUUCCAUAAUCAUGAUGAAAUCGCGAGUUUUUUUAAAUUACGGUAAUCAGGAAGUUGGCUUAUAAUUUUAAUUGCAAUUUGAAUCAUUUUCUAAUAUAUUGUUUCUGGGCACUUUUCAUGAAUUUCCUCUGAGUUUUUUGUGGUAAAACACACAAAUAUGAAGACACUUGACUGAGAACAUCUUCAGCUGGCUGGCAUUCCAUUGAUUGACCUCGAGAGUUGUGUAUCUCUGCGCAUGAAUACAUGGGGUGCUAUCCUGAAGGAAAAGCGGCGCAAAAUGCAGCCAAGAAUAUUUCCAUGGAAGAAGAUCCAGCUUUUUUACCCUAGCUCUGCAAAUGGUCUUCAGAUUUGAGAGGACGGAGAAGCCAGUAAGAGAAAUGUUUUGGAAGAUAAAAAUCUUAAAUUAAUACUCUGCAUAUAGCUGCAGGCCAGAAAGCCAUGCAGAGUGUGCAAUGUGACAAGAGUCUCCAAAGGAAAAGCGGCCUAAAUUGGUGGCUUUGGAGAAAAAGCUGAUCAGCAGGCUCCGACUUCCUGAGAAAGGAAGGUUGCCAGGAAGGGAACACCAUUUGAGGCACCUCUUCCUAUCGAAUGCCAUGAAUAUGGCAAUAUGAAUCAAAUGUGGGAAGAGCAAACUUAUUAUGGAUAAGAUUGAUGGCAAGAAGUGAGGCAGGAGAACAAAGGCACUAGCCAGGUUGAUCCAAAACAGCUUCGAGGAGACAGAAUAAGCGUCAAGUUCUAACAUUCCAUAUUUUUAAUAUUUUUAUUGUUUCUCUCUCUUGCUUCACUAUUAAAACAUCCACUCCUGGUUCUGCCACGCCAGGGAGGUGCGCUGAACCUUGUUCAGUGCCCCUUUGUGGAUUCCUGGGACAGGGCGCCUCGAGUGGCACCGUCUGACCGCAAAGGACGCUGCCGUUUGGGAUGUUCUCGGCCGAACACACACACAAUCUUCUAUAUAUUUCUAUACCGUUGGCCUUUUAAUAAUAGAAUUUCUCUGUUUGCUUUUUUGGUUUUUUGUUUCAGUUUUAGGCAUCACUUGGGGCCCAUGACAGAAAGGCCUUGCAGAGUGUGCAGUAUGAUGGGAGUCUUUGAAGGAAAAGCGGCACUACUGAUGGCUGCUCAGACAGCCAAUUAAGCUGCAACUUGAAAAACGAAUCAAUUGAGAGGAGCAAUGAAACUUUUUGUGAAUAAAGAUCAUUGAAGUUGGCAAGAAGUGAGGCAGGAGAAGGAAGUCGUUUGGCAAGUUGAUCUAAAACAGCAAUGAAUGGACUGCGAAAAAUGGCAGGUUGUGUCUUCCCUGAAUUUUUUACCGGCAACUCGCAUUCUCUUCCUUUCACUGCUCAAAACUAAUCCACCCCUGGUGCUGCCCUGCCAGGGAGGCGUGUUGAACCUUGUUCAGUGCGCCUUUGUGGAUUCCUGGGACAGGGCGCCUCGAGUGGCACCGUCUGACCGCAAAGGACGCUGCCGUUCGGGAUGUUCUCGACCGAACACGAACAAUCUUCUUUAUUUUUCUAUACUGUUGGCCUUCUAAAAAGAGCAUUUCUAUCUGUUUACUUUUUCAGUUUUUUUGUUUUGAGUUUUAGGCAUCCUUUAGGGUCCAUGACAGAAAGGCCUUGCAGAGUGUGCAGUCUAAUGGGAGUCUUUGAAGGAAAAGCGGCACUACUGAUGGCUGCUCAGACAGCCAAUUAAGCUGCAACUUGAAAAACGAAUCAAUUGAGAGGAGCAAUGAAACUUUUUGUGAAUAAAGAUCAUUGAAGUUGGCAAGAAGUGAGGCAGGAGAAUGAAGUCGUUUGGCAAGUUGAUCUAAAACAGCAAUGAAUGGACUGCGAAAAAUGGCAGGUUGUGUCUUCCCUGAAUUUUUUACCCACAACUCGCAUUCUCUUCCUUUCACUGCUCAAAACUAAUCCACCCCUGGUGCUGCCCUGCCAGGGAGGCGUGUUGAACCUUGUUCAGUGCGCCUUUGUGGAUUCCUGGGACAGGGCGCCUCGAGUGGCACCGUCUGACCGCAAAGGACGCUGCCGUUCGGGAUGUUCUCGACCGAACACGAACAAUCUUCUUUAUUUUUCUAUACUGUUGGCCUUCUAAAAAGAGCAUUUCUAUCUGUUUACUUUUUCAGUUUUUUUGUUUUGAGUUUUAGGCAUCCUUUGGGGUCCAUGACAGAAAGGCCUUGCAGAGUGUGUAGUCUGAUGGGAGUCUUUGAAGGAAAAGCGGCACUACUGGUGGCUGCGCAGACAGCCAAUUAAGCUGCAACUUGAAAAACGAUUCAAUUGAGAGGAGCAAUGAAACUUUUUGUGUAAAAAGAUCAUUGAAGUUGGCAAGAAGUGAGGCAGGAGAAGGAAGUCGUUUUGCAAGUUGAUCUAAAACAGCAAUGAAUGGACUGCGAAAAAUGGCAGGUUGUGUCUUCCCUGAAUUUUUUACCGACAACUCGCAUUCUCUUCCUUUCACUGCUCAAAACUAAUCCACCCCUGGUGCUGCCCUGCCAGGGAGGCGUGUUGAACCUUGUUCAGUGCGCCUUUGUGGAUUGCUGGGACAGGGCGCCUCGAGUGGCACCGUCGGACCGCAAAGGACGCUGCCGUUCGGGAUGUUCUCGACCGAACACGAACAAUCUUCUUUAUUUUUCUAUACUGUUGGCCUUCUAAAAAGAGCAUUUCUAUCUGUUUACUUUUUCAGUUUUUUUGUUUUGAGUUUUAGGCAUCCUUUGGGGUCCAUGACAGAAAGGCCUUGCAGAGUGUGUAGUCUGAUGGGAGUCUUUGAAGGAAAAGCGGCACUACUGGUGGCUGCGCAGACAGCCAAUUAAGCUGCAACUUGAAAAACGAUUCAAUUGAGAGGAGCAAUGAAACUUUUUGUGUAAAAAGAUCAUUGAAGUUGGCAAGAAGUGAGGCAGGAGAAGGAAGUCGUUUGGCAAGUUGAUCUAAAACAGCAAUGAAUGGACUGCGAAAAAUGGCAGGUUGUGUCUUCCCUGUAUUUUUUACCGACAACUCGCAUUCUCUUCCUUUCACUCAAAACUAAUCCACCCCUGGUGCUGCUCUGCCAGGGAGGCGUGUUGAACCUUGUUCAGUGCGCCUUUGUGGAUUCCUGGGACAGGGCGCCUCGAGUGGCACCGUCUGACCGCAAAGGACGCUGCCGUUCGGGAUGUUCUCGACCGAACACGAACAAUCUUCUUUAUUUUUCUAUACUGUUGGCCUUCUAAAAAGAGCAUUUCUAUCUGUUUACUUUGGCAGUUUUUUUUGUUCGAGCUUUAGGCAUCCUUUGGGGUCCAUGACAGAAAGGCCUUGCAGAGUGUGUAGUCUGAUGGGAGUCUUUGAAGGAAAAGUGGCACUACUGGUGGCUGCGCAGACAGCCAAUUAAGCUGCAACUUGAAAAACGAUUCAAUUGAGAGGAGCAAUGAAACUUUUUGUGAAUAAAGAUCAUUGAAGUUGGCAAGAAGUGAGGCAGGAGAAGGAAGUCGUUUGGCAAGUUGAUCUAAAACAGCAAUGAAUGGACUGCGAAAAAUGGCAGGUUGUGUCUUCCCUGUAUUUUUUACCGACAACUCGCAUUCUCUUCCUUUCACUCAAAACUAAUCCACCCCUGGUGCUGCUCUGCCAGGGAGGCGUGUUGAACCUUGUUCAGUGCGCCUUUGUGGAUUCCUGGGACAGGGCGCCUCGAGUGGCACCGUCUGACCGCAAAGGACGCUGCCGUUCGGGAUGUUCUCGACCGAACACGAACAAUCUUCUUUAUUUUUCUAUACUGUUGGCCUUCUAAAAAGAGCAUUUCUAUCUGUUUACUUUGGCAGUUUUUUUUGUUCGAGCUUUAGGCAUCCUUUGGGGUCCAUGACAGAAAGGCCUUGCAGAGUGUGUAGUCUGAUGGGAGUCUUUGAAGGAAAAGUGGCACUACUGGUGGCUGCGCAGACAGCCAAUUAAGCUGCAACUUGAAAAACGAUUCAAUUGAGAGGAGCAAUGAAACUUUUUGUGAAUAAAGAUCAUUGAAGUUGGCAAGAAGUGAGGCAGGAGAAUGAAGUCGUUUGGCAAGUUGAUCUAAAACAGCAAUGAAUGGACUGCGAAAAAUGGCAGGUUGUGUCUUCCCUGAAUUUUUUACCCACAACUCGCAUUCUCUUCCUUUCACUGCUCAAAACUAAUCCACCCCUGGUGCUGCCCUGCCAGGGAGGCGUGUUGAACCUUGUUCAGUGCGCCUUUGUGGAUUCCUGGGACAGGGCGCCUCGAGUGGCACCGUCUGACCGCAAAGGACGCUGCCGUUCGGGAUGUUCUCGACCGAACACAAACAAUCUUCUUUAUUUUUCUAUACUGUUGGCCUUCUAAAAAGAGCAUUUCUAUCUGUUUACUUUGUCAGUUUUUUUUUGUUCGAGUUUUAGGCAUCCUUUGGGGUCCAUGACAGAAAGGCCUUGCAGAGUGUGCAGUCUGAUGGGAGUCUUUGAAGGAAAAGCGGCACUAUUGGUGGCUGCGCAGACAGCCAAUUAAGCUCCAACUUAAAAAACGAAUCAAUUGAGAGGAGCAAUGAAACUUUUUGUGUAAAAAGAUAUUGAAGUUGUCAAGAAAUGAGGCAGGAGAAGGAAGUCGUUUGGCAAGUUGAUCUAAAAUAGCUAUGAAUGGACUGCAAAAUAUGGCAGGUUGUGUCUUCCCUGAAUUUUUUACCGACAACUCGCAUUCUCUUCCUUUCACUCAAAACUAAUCCACCCCUGGUGCUGCAAUUUUGCAGCUUACAAAACCGGCACUGGGGUUUUAACGAAUAAAAGAUUUGUUAAAGUUUUUACUUUUGAGCAGAGCAUUGAGGGUGAGGAAGAGUAGCGUCCUGCAAAGGAUUCAACUAUUCAUCCCUGAGCCGAAAAGAAGACAGAUCACCUUGAAUAGGUGUGAUCGAAACCCUGGACAUGAUCGCCCAGAUGGCAGAUCGGGUUCAAGCAGGAAGCACUGCAAAGAAGAAGAAAAGGAUCAGCAGUUAGAGAAGCAGUGAUGGUGAAAGACACGCACGAAAAGAAACACACAGGCUGAGCUCUUUUUGUUACUUAAUAUUUAUAUUUAGAAGUUAAUUGAUUAUUAAUUUUUUCACUUGACUUUUUGACUCAAAACUUACCUGUGGCGAGUUUUGAUGUCAGCGUCCGAAUUAGUUCACAUUUAAUACUUGAAGUUUUGAUUGAUAAUUUUUUUCGCAAUUGACUCAAACUUUACCUUGCGGCGAGGUUUGAUGUCAGCGUCAUUUUAAAUGCUUGUCUAUUAUUUACAUCUGAAAAAUAAUUUACAAUCCAAAUUGACUCAAACCUUGCCUUGCGGCAAGGUUUGAUGUCAGCGUCAUUUUAAAUGCUUGUCUAUUAUUUACAUCUGAAAAAUAAUUUACAAUCCAAAUUGACUCAAACCUUGCCUUGCGGCAAGGUUUGAUGUCAGCGUCGUUUUAAAUGCUUGUCUAUUAUUUACAUCUGAAAAAUAAUUUACAAUCCAAAUUGACUCAAACCUUGCCUUGCGGCGAGGUUUGAUGUCAGCGUCCUUUUAUAUGCAUGCCUUUUAUAAACAUCUGAACAAUAAUUUAUGAUCCAAAUUGACUCAAACCUUACCUUGCGGCGAGGUUUGAUGUCAGCUGUCAGCGUCAAAUUAAUUGUAUUAAUGAAAGUUUUGGUUGUACAAAACAACAAUUAAUAAUUUUAAGAUAUAUAUCAAACUAAGAAAACUGUUAAAGACUUUAAUGUGUAUAUUUAUGUAUUAUAUCGUAUUUGUAUUGAUAUGAGGAAAUAUUGUUCAAAUCUAACAGUAAGACUCCGCCACAGGGUUUUCAGGGGUGGUUUUCCCCUGUGGUUGGUGAGGAGGGUCGGUCAAAUGCUUGCCCACCCCCGCUUUAUUGUGAAUGGCGUGCGAGCACCCCCCAUCAUUGUCUCACCAUUUGUAUUGUGCGGACCAUAAUUUUAAUUAAACACAAUAUGAGUUGACUAAGAAAUAAAAUAAAUUGAAGUAGCCAAUAAAUUCUUUA